CGCAGUCAUAAGGAGGCCACCUCCAAAGGGCCCCUGUGACAUAAAUAGCAACGAUGGACACACAGUUAGUCAAACAUUUACUCAUCUCGGGCAAGAAGCUAAUAGCGUUGCCUGGAGAGUUUCACAAGGCCUGUUUACUUAUUUUACGAACCGCCAUUUAAAGAUUGGACGAGUCCACAUUGCAUCACUGGUUUGGCAAAGAGGCCAUCUCUCUACUGCGCUGUAAACAACCAGGGAAGGAAGUCUCAGGAGAAAUGUGAAGCUGACUACAGUGUUGGGAGGAGUAGGUGACGUCUGAAGGUCCAGCAGGAUGACAUGCUGUUAUCAUGACUGUCCUGAUCAGGUCAGGUUACAGGAGACCACAACCCUACAGAUAAUCUCUCAACCCCAACAGAGGAGGAGAGAUCUAGGGGUCUGAAGAUGUUUUUUUUAUUACCCCUCACACCCAUGGUAAAUCUUAGGCCACAGACAAAUUCCUUUGUCCUGUUACUAUGGAGAACCAGCCUCAGAACAUUAAACAUGAAAUAAAGGGAUUUGAAACAAUGGUUUCCGUCAGCCACAAUGGUGGUGAUGACGAUAGAUGGAAUAUGAAAAUGUAUGUCAUUUUUGUUUUGUUAUUAAAUGUUAAAUAGAUUACAUUAUUACGGAAACAUUGUAACGUGAAGAGUUUUCCUAGUAUAUGUUUGAUGUUUAUACAUUGUACGUUGUAUGGAAAAUAUCCAAAUCAAAGAGAAUGAUUUGGGAAAGAUUAAAUGUGAAGUUAGUUGUCUAAAAUUGGAUUUGAGUCAAAUCUAGACUUUGCCCUCAUAACUUGGUACGCCCAGAGUAUUGCCCUAAAGGCGGUUAUGCCCACUUCUGACCCAAGGGUAUAAAACCUGUGAGUAAAGAAUUUACAGACAAGACUACGUGACCCAAGCUGCAGCCAAGGUCUAAAAAGUCAACUAACCCAAAAUGCAGCGCAAGUUUGAAGACAAACCUUUUUCUACCCAAGCUACGGAUGAGUAGCUGUGUCUAAGCGGAUGAAUUCAAGUCGAACCACCUAGCCUCCAUCUCCCAUCGAAUCGUGGUAUCUACACUGUUUCAUUCCAACGCUGUGAGCUCUGAGCUACAGAGCUGUCUGUCCUCAGAAGACCCCUUCCAGAGAAAGAGUGAGGGAACAGACUCCUAAGCCAAAAGGACACUGACAUCGGGAGGAUGAUCAGAGGUGCGCUGGAGAAGUGCGUUAUCGAGCAGCCUGAACGGUCUACGCAGAGAAUCCUCGGAGGUCUUCCCCACGUAAUUACAUCAUUAUAUUCUGACCCAUAAGAGCGGCAGUGUGAAGCAAGGCUAAAGUUAGAAUAGCAUAGCUGACAAAUUCACCCAAAUGUAUAUUUCUCUUGUGUACUUUCUUUUUCCUCUCUCUCUUUGAAAUCCCCAUUUUGGGUAACUUGCGCCAUAGUGUGUUGGCCCGUUAUACUAAGUUCUAAUCAAUAGCCUAUAAUGUGUAUCUAUCAUCAUUUUAGCUUUUUAGUAAAUAAAUAUUCAACUAAGAUUGGUGUGGUAUGAACUCAUUGGUGAGACCCGGGUCCGUGCAGAUUCACGGACUAUACG
ensembl:lncRNA